ACGGAAGGCAGCAGUGGGGAAUAUUGGACAAUGGGGGAAACCCUGAUCCAGCGACGCCGCGUGAGUGAAGAAGUAUUUCGGUAUGUAAAGCUCUAUCAGCAAGGAAGAAAAUGACGGUACUUGACUAAGAAGCCCCGGCUAACUACGUGCCAGCAGCCGCGGUAAUACGUAGGGGGCAAGCGUUAUCCGGAUUUACUGGGUGUAAAGGGAGCGUAGACGGUCAUGCAAGUCUGAAGUGAAAGCCCGGGGCUCAACCGCGGGAUUGCUUUGGAAACUGUAGGACUAGAGUGCAGGAGAGGUAAGUGGAAUUCCUAGUGUAGCGGUGAAAUGCGUAGAUAUUAGGAGGAACACCAGUGGCGAAGGCGGCUUACUGGACGAUAACUGACGUUGAGGCUCGAAAGCGUGGGGAGCAAACAGGAUUAGAUACCCUGGUA
rnacentral:rRNA from 1 species